AGCGGCAGACGGGUGAGUAACGCGUGGGAACGUACCUUUUGGUUCGGAACAACCCAGGGAAACUUGGGCUAAUACCGGAUAAGCCCUUACGGGGAAAGAUUUAUCGCCGAAAGAUCGGCCCGCGUCUGAUUAGCUUGUUGGUGAGGUAACGGCUCACCAAGGCGACGAUCAGUAGCUGGUCUGAGAGGAUGAUCAGCCACAUUGGGACUGAGACACGGCCCAAACUUCUACGGGAGGCAGCAGUGGGGAAUAUUGGACAAUGGGCGCAAGCCUGAUCCAGCCAUGCCGCGUGAGUGAUGAAGGCCCUAGGGUUGUAAAGCUCUUUUGUGCGGGAAGAUAAUGACGGUACCGCAAGAAUAAGCCCCGGCUAACUUCGUGCCAGCAGCCGCGGUAAUACGAAGGGGGCUAGCGUUGCUCGGAAUCACUGGGCGUAAAGGGUGCGUAGGCGGGUCUUUAAGUCAGAGGUGAAAGCCUGGAGCUCAACUCCAGAACUGCCUUUGAUACUGAGGAUCUUGAGUUCGGGAGAGGUGAGUGGAACUGCGAGUGUAGAGGUGAAAUUCGUAGAUAUUCGCAAGAACACCAGUGGCGAAGGCGGCUCACUGGCCCGAUACUGACGCUGAGGCACGAAAGCGUGGGGAGCAAACAGGAUU
rnacentral:rRNA from 1 species